rnacentral:rRNA from 1 species
AUUGAACGCUGGCGGCAGGCUUAACACAUGCAAGUCGAACGGUAACAUAAAGAAGCUUGCUUCUUUGAUGACGAGUGGCGGACGGGUGAGUAAUGCUUGGGAAUCUAGCUUAUGGAGGGGGAUAACUACGGGAAACUGUAGCUAAUACCGCGUAAUAUCGAAAGAUUAAAGUGUGGGACCUUCGGGCCACAUGCCAUAGGAUGAGCCCAAGUGGGAUUAGGUAGUUGGUGAGGUAAAGGCUCACCAAGCCGACGAUCUCUAGCUGGUCUGAGAGGAUGACCAGCCACACUGGGACUGAGACACGGCCCAGACUCCUACGGGAGGCAGCAGUGGGGAAUAUUGCGCAAUGGGGGCAACCCUGACGCAGCCAUGCCGCGUGAAUGAAGAAGGCCUUCGGGUUGUAAAGUUCUUUCGGUAGCGAGGAAGGCAUUUAGUUUAAUAGACUAAGUGAUGACGUAACUACAGAAAGC